GAUUUAUAAUUUAAAUUAACAAUUUGUUAAAUAUUUAAAUCCAAAAUUAACUUAACGAUGUCAUAAAUCAUAAUUUUAAAGUAUCCAUGAGUAAUCAUUGAUAAUUACAAAAAAAUUUACAUUCAAUAUAAUAUAUUUUAAAAAUUAUAAAAGCCGCUUUAAUACUCUAAUCUAAUCUCAUAAAUAUAAGAAUAAAAAUUAAAAUACCGGAAAAUACUCUGGACGGAAAAAAGUUUUGAAACAAGGUAAAUUUAAUACCGAAAUAAUAAUAAAAAAUUAGAAUCAGUUUGAAUUUUUUCCCCAACAUUUUUGAGUAAUUUAAGCAUUUAAAUUGGUCCCUUAUUCUAAAAAAAGCAAGCCUUGCUCAUAUCUUGCUCCAUUGAGCAAGCAUUGCUAUUCUUGCUCUUGAUCGAGCAAGGUCUGCUCAAUCUUGCACAAGCUGCUCAUGGCGCCACUAGUCAAACAGUUAAAACAAAUGAGCAUCGCUGUGCGUGCCGCGUCGCCGCGUGAUGCAUUGAGCGUUGGCAAGUAAACAAAACGGUCGAUUCUGAGGGGAUUUCGACUUCACACGAUUUCAGGGUGGAAAUUCAAUUUAAAAUCAAGCAAAGAUUCAGCAAAGAUGUUGUCUUAACAAAUCCGCAUAUCCUUCUGGAAUUGAAGCGGCAUCUGCCUGAUUGAAGGGACUGGCCGUUGUGAGGACACCUUCAGCGUGUGUUUCGUAUCUAUUAGACGCAUAUUAUUUCCUUUGCUGGAUCUCAGGAUGGGUUUCCAGACACCACAAAACUGGCAGCCUUUUUACUACUCUCAACUCUAAAAGAUAAGUAAAAUUUACAUUUUUCUUUUAGCGCAGCAUGUAAUUUUAAUUAAAAUUGUUGAAUUUCUCUCAAAAAUUAAUUUUUUCAUUAUUAUGAGAUUUAAAAACCUCUGUUAAAAACUAGCUUAUUCAAUUAAACCACAAUGGAAAAAUUCCUUUAAUUUAAUGCCAUAACAACUUUACUUUUUUUAAAUAAAUUAUAUU